AUCCGAGUUCCUGUACGAUCACUGAAGUUAAGCAACGUCGAGCCUAGUCAGUACCUAGAUGGGUGACCGCUUGGGAAUACCGGUGCUGUAAG
rnacentral:rRNA from 1 species